GGAAGUAUGUUGAUCAAAUGUAAGCUGCUAACUUAUCAUUUUAGUGGUUAAAUUCCAUUUAUAUUUCUA
rnacentral:tRNA from 1 species